AAAAUGACUCUCGGCAACGGAUAUCUCGGCUCUCGCAUCGAUGAAGAACGUAGCGAAAUGCGAUACUUGGUGUGAAUUGCAGAAUCCCGUGAACCAUCGAGUCUUUGAACGCAAGUUGCGCCCCAAGCCUUUAGGCCGAGGGCACGCCUGCCUGGGUGUCACCC
rnacentral:rRNA from 1 species